UACGUAGGGCGCAAGCGUUGUCCGGAAUUAUUGGGCGUAAAGAGCUCGUAGGUGGCUUGUUGCGUCUGCCGUGAAAGCCCCGUGGCUUAACUGCGGGUCUGCGGUGGAUACGGGCAGGCUAGAGGCUGGUAGGGGCAAGCGGAAUUCCUGGUGUAGCGGUGAAAUGCGCAGAUAUCAGGAGGAACACCGGUGGCGAAGGCGGCUUGCUGGGCCAGUUCUGACGCUGAGGAGCGAAAGCGUGGGGAGCGAACAGG
rnacentral:rRNA from 1 species